AGAAAGAUGCCUCGAGCGAGGGCAGCGUGAGGGAGGGAGAGAACGCUCGGCCGAGGCAUGAAGGGGCGAGAGAAGAGUGUUCUUUCCGUUCUCGGGGAGUGACCGAGAACCCAGUCGCCGGAGCUCGCCGCCGGUUUCCAAAGCUCCGGCCAAGGAUCAGUUCGUGAGCCAGCCUUUACCCAUUCGGCGGUCUUUCUACAGCCGAAGAAGGAGCCCCAACUAGUCGCUCCUCACCGUCGCCGACUGAGAUCUUGAGUCGCCGAACGAGACAGGUAGGAUUUCUCUCCCAGAAGCCCCUGUUUUCUGGCCGGAGAAACUCGCCUGAGUCGAUGUAACUUUUGGAUCAAAAUCUCGACGAACUCACGCAAGUUUAGAACGGUUCAUAGUGUUUGGGAGGUUAAUAUAUCAUGGUUGGAUCGUGGAAUGCUGUAGAUUUGAACUAACUAUUUGUUAUAUUGCCUGAACGAACCGCAGAAUGUUAAAGAAAACCGAAUCUGAUCGUUAAAAUUUUAAGUAAACUAGAACAAAUUAGGAUGGAUUUAGCAUGAAAAAUGUUGAUUCAUGCCUUUAUACAUUGUUUUUUACUCUAAAAUGGCAUCGAAUCCCUCUCUGGAACACAUCCUUUACAUCGCACAUCAGUCGCUCGAUAAAAUGCUUGAGAGAAGGCCGAAACUGCUCGAUUGUUGAAUCUUAAGAUUGAUUUUGCUUUUGCUUCUGUAUAGGUUGAAUGUGGCCUAAUAUUAGUGUUUUCUUUUGUUUUACGCAUGUGAUGAGAAAUCUGUGUUCGAGUUCAACUUGUAUAUAUAUCCCCAUGCCCAAAAGCUGUUCGUCGGAGACAUCCCCUCUCGCCGGCGAAGUUUGUGAUUUAAAAUCAGCCAGUCAGUUUAGCUCUUCACUUUGUUGUAUACUAGUGAUUUUUUGCUUGUUAGAAAGCCUAGGAUGGGAGGGAUUAGCUUCCGAUAGGUAUUUUUGUUCAUGGUUGAGGUCGCCGGAAUGAGUGGUCGGAGUUGGGGGGUUGCCGGUGGGAGUGGAUGACCGGCGGAGAGAGUCGGUUUGGCGGCCAUGAAGGCGCUGGCAGUCGCCGGCCGGAGCAAUGGCGGGGCGUCGAGGCUGGUGAUCCUGGUUCGGUGAGUGCAGGUGGAAAGAAAAAGAGUCGGCGAAGGAGGAGGAGCGCUUCCGGAGGUUGAAGGAGGAGUGCAGGGAAAGAAUGUAAAACAGGGAAAAGGACAAAAGAAAGAAGAAAAAAAAAAAGAAAUUUAAAAUAAAAUUCACAAUAUAUAUCAAAUAUAUAUAAGUAUUAAAAAAAAGGUUUUAAUCCGACUCGGGCCGGGUCAACGGGCCGGAUGUGGUAAACCCGGUCCGAACCCGUUCCCCGAAUAUAACAAUAAUAAAAUUAAUAAUUAAAAAAUUCGAAACUAAUAAAAAUUAAAAAAAUUAAAAAUUCAUAAAAUGAUAAAAAAAAUUUAGAAACUUUUAAAAUAUUUAGAAAAUUCGAAAAUCAAUAAAAAAACUAGAAUUAUAGAAAAUCGUUCAAAUAAAAUAUCCGAAAAAAGAUAUUCAAAAGUAAAAAUUAAUUAAAAAUUUUGAAAAAAUAUAUUAAAAUAUUAAAAAAAAUCAUAAAAUUAAUGAAAAAAUUUAAAAAACUCGGAAAAUCCUAAAAAAAAAAUCAGAAAACCCAAAAAAAUCGUGAAAACUUAGAAAAUCCAAAAGAUUAACAUAAAAAUUUUUAAUUUUAAUUUUAAUUUGAUUAAAAAAAUUAGAAAACCCUUAGAAAUUAAUUCCAAAAUUUGGACAGUCCUUUAGGACUUUACAAUAGGGUUCUUUGUUGUGAUUGUAUUUUUAUCCCUAAGGAUGAUAUUAGGAUCCUUGCAUGCCUUCCUUCACAAUAGUAAUUGAUUGCACAUUUCAAUUUUUUGGUUAUUACUUUCCUCUCUAUAAUGAUUAGGAGGAAUCUUAGAUUUUUUUUUGGAUAGGCCGCUAUGGCGUCUGUUAGUACAUAAUCGAGUAGGUACCGAAAGAACAUUAGUCUUAGGGCUAACGUAAUGAAGUCCCGAGUCUAUAAUCUUUGGUUCCGUAAAUAGUAAGAUAUCAUUCUAUAACUUACUUGGUUUCUAGCCGGCUGAAAAAGCUAAGGAUUACUCCUUAGUCAAAAUUUGCAUAGGCUUAAUUGUUUAAAAUCCGAAUGCUCGAUGUCGCGCGAGACAUGAGUUUGGGAGAACUCAAGUUCAUAAUUAAUAGACUGAGCAUGGAGACGUCACUCUUGAAGCCGUCUCUUUUAAGGAUGCCUAGUUGGACCGUUAUGCGAACAAAUGCCACUAAACCUACUCACUAGAGGAAAGUGUUUACCCUUCAACGGGUUAGGUUGCGACAUGACCAUAACUAACCUUUCCUCUUUCUUUCUUUCUUUCUUUUUUUUGGUCUAGGACCAUAACUGACGUACUCCCAUGAUACAUCUCAUGAAAUUCUGCAAGUAACGAGCUAAUUUGAUGGUGAAGGCUGGUUCAAGAAAGAUGCUUGUCCGCAGGAUUACCUAUGUGAUUGAUGUAAUUUCUGCAAUAGUCAAAUUGACAGCAAGUAAUUCAUGGAUCUCACGGUGAAGUAAAAUCAAUGCAUCAUGCUCGAGCAAGAUAAUUGCAAUUUGCAAAGUUUCCAAAUUGGCACAUUCACUAAAUGAUAAUGCCUAGCUAAUUACAAAGCCCUAGACAAAUUUGGGAUAGCAUACCUCAACAUUUGACCGAUCUGAACACCGAAAAUAACUUCACAACCAAUAAGUAACUAACCAAAGUACUAUUAGUGAAGGAACGGGUUUUCCUCCAUUCUUUCUUUUGGUAUCAAUUUCCAUGACAAAUAGAGCAAUAUGACUCAUAAAAGUAAGAGACAAAAUAGAUCUUUACCAUGGCUUACUUGGUAAAUGUCACGCCCCGAACCCCAAGCGCACGCAUAUCCCUCGGUGGUCGAUUAAAAAUGCGACGUCCCAAAACACGUCGCCAACCCUUUUUUUUUAUUUUUCAAUUAAGCACAUGGUGGAAGCGAAUUAAAUAAACACCCGGCCAACAAACAAACAUAGGGAUAGUAAAACACGACAACCAUUGCCGAAAACAAUAUAUUCAUUUAUCAACUGUUAACCCUAAGAAGUUUAAUACUUACAAGCUUUCCUACUGCCACUUCCUAUCGACCCUCCCAAAAAUCUUCAGCGACUAGGAUCAACCUAAACUUCACUAGCAAUUGGGCCAGGUGUCGCAUUCCACGCCCACCAAAUCCGCACUUAGCAGAUCUCCACAUUAUGGCCUUGAAAAAGUUUAGCCACGAUGGGGUGAGAUAAAUCUCAGUGAGUCAAAACUCUAAACCCCGAUUAUGACGCAAAUUCGCUUUGAAGGAGGUCUUAAACACGCACCAGACAAAACUCACCUCGCCUCAGCACGUCCCUACACAUUAGCGCAUCACAAAUGCCAUUAUAAAUAUCACAAGCGUAAUUAAUAACUAGAACACGGGAUUUUCAUCCUCCAAACAUUCACAUGAGUCCCAAUUAUAAGAUAAAACCAUUAUAACACGUCUCAUAUCAUGCCAUACAAUUUUAUCCCAUAAUCAGGCACAAACUAUCACAACCAUUCAAGCGUGUUCUGGUUAUUAUGACUAAUCGGCCACGGUCAACUCAACAGUUAGCGGUCAUUCGACGUAAUCGAGCAUCGUCUUGCCCCAUCGAGCAUGGUAACAUCUUGAACCCCCACUUAGACGGCAUUCCAUAAAAGAGCAUUGGUUUGACCUCCACCGUGACUCUGCUUUCGGACCCUCGCCGAGCAUCCGAUAAAAAUCAGGCAUCAUCCCCAAACUCCUGUUGGGUGACGGGUUCAAUUACGUGACCAUGCAAGCAUGUCAUCAAUCAAAUCAGCUUUUAUUUCCGUCAUUUAGCCAACAAAACAGAAAUCCCUUUUCAAAUAAUAAACCUUGCAACUCCUUUUUUUUUUUGUUUAAAACUUUCAGAAAUAAAUUCGUACGGGGUCACAUAUUUGAAAUCAACCCACCAAAUUUUGCACGCAUCUCAUUUGAAACCUCAUGGUUUUAUUGAGCACAUAAAACUUGGCAUCCAAACCUGAAAUCAUAUUUAUUUUCUAUUUCUUUGUCCAAUCAUCCAUUUUGGAAACAAUCUUUAUUAACCCCCUUUUUUUUUCUCCUUUAAAACUUUUGGAAAGAAAUUCGUAAGUACUCUCUUAUUCAAAAUUAAUCCAUCAAAAUUUGCAUGUACCUAGUUUAAAAUCUUAUUGUUUUAUUGAGCAAAUAAAUUUUGGUGUCCGAACCCGACACCUCAUUAUUUUUCUAAUUAAAAGCUUAUAAGGUCAUCUUUUACAAUAAUAAUAGACAAUCCUCAUAGAACAACCAUUUACAUAAUAUCACGCAUAAGUUCUCAACCAAAUCACAAAAUGUACAUUUCCCAGCAAGUAAGACACCAAGAACAACCACAAGACCACUACCAGCCCUUACCGACAGAAACCGGGUUCACUCGCACGUCUCCAAGAUUAAUUCUAGAAAUAUAACCAAACGAGUUCAGAAAAUUCUCAAAUUUAAAUAUAUUAUAAAGGACACUUAAAAAAAAACACUUUUCAUGAAGACAUCUUGACCCAGACCUUUAUAGAAUAAGAGCAGUAAAUUGUUCAAGUCGUUACCAAAACUGUGUCCAUAUCCAGAAAUUAUGUUUUCCAAAAGCAGCUUGGUUUAGGGUCCAAAACUCAUCUGUUUGCUCUGAAAUUUAACUAUGUUAAACUUCAAAAUGUGAUAAAAAAAAAUUUUUGAAGAAACUCUUUCAAAAGUCGUACCUUAAAAAUUGUGAAGAAACACCAAAAGGUCACUGGUUCCAGCACAAACCGAGAUUCUGCCUUGCAUGUAACGGAGUUGAAAUCUUGUUCUUUUAAAUACCAAAAAUCUUGAGUAAAAUAAAUGUCAUAAAUGAAGAUGUUUAGAUCAUUUUUCAAGAAGGAAAUAAUCCCAAAAUCGUGGCACAUUUUAACUCACGAAAAUAGCAAACAGCGAGUGUCCAGUAAACUGCGAUUAAUUAGUCUAAUCCAACUUAAUUAACACUAAUCCUUCUUAGCACUAAUCUAACCAUGAUUAACACCAAUCUAAACAUCCCUUAAGCGCAAUUAACAGUCUAAUCAAGGAUUAUGGAGUUAACUCACCGAAAUUCGACGGCGGCGGGCUUGUGGUGACGAUAACGCAACGGCUACGAAAACGCAAGACUACCGUGUCUCAAAUGGAGGCUUGGCGAAGGCUGAGAUGGCCUCUCAAGCUCUCGGCCAAGGCUGUUUAGUGGGGCUAGGGUGCUGGUCUCGAAUACGGCUGGACGGGCGACAAGAAGGUGGUGAGAUGGUGGCUGCUUGGUGGGCUCGGUGGAGGUGGUGUGAAGGAAGCGGUGCUGGUUUGGUGGUGAGGCAUUGUGGACGGUGACUACUGGCGUGAGGGUAAGUGGUGCUGGUGUUAUGAGGUGGGGUGGGGGUGGAAAUGUGAAGGGGUGAAGAAGAACCGUGAGAUGAAGAUAAGAUGGAGAGAGUGGAGGGGGCUGAUGAUGCUGGAGUUGGCGUGAGAUAAUGAAAAUGAAGGGAAACAAAACCAGAUGGAAGAAAGGCAGACGUGGGGGAAGAAGGUGGGGCUGCGGCAAGGAAAAUAAGGGAAAUGCGUGAGGGAGAAAGGAAGAAGAAAGAGCAUAAGGGAAAGAAAGGUAGCGCAUGACAAUGUUUCUAUUCCUCAAGAUUUUUGUUCUUUUGUUCCUAAGAACAAAAAAAAAAAAAAAAAAAAAAAAACAGAAAUACAUUUGGUAACACCAAGUUGUUUUUUUAUUCCCGGGAAUAGAAAAUUAGCUCGGGAAUGGUUUUGGAACAGAAACGAUAAGCAAAAAAAAGUUGCUUCUUGUUCUUGAGAACAAUUUCUAGAAAUAAGCCAAUUUUCUUUUUUAUUUUUCUUUUAUUCCUCUCUCUUGCUGUGGCCAUCUCCAACUGCCCAGAGCCACCGCCGACCGUCGGUUGUCGCCACCGCCGGUUGCCAGCCGCUGCCGCCUCUCGCCGGCGGCCAGCCGCAAGAGGUGGCGAUAGAUGGGCUGUGCUGCUGCGGUCAACAGCCGACAGUCGUGCAGCGGCGGCGGCGACAGUCGACAGUCGGCGAUCCAUGAGCAAGAAUAAAAAACGAAUAAAUACAAAAAAGAAACUAUUGCGUUACCAAACGCAUUUCUAUUAUUUUUCUAUUUCAAGAGUAAAAAUUUUGUAUAGUUACCAAACAGAUUCUUUUACUAAGAAAUUGUUCCUCAGAAUAGAAAUAGAAAAGAACUAUUUUUGAAAAAAAAAAACGCUUCCCCAGCCAAGAAGCGUUGUCAUGCGCAGCCAAAGAAGCUGGUCAACUGCUGUAGGGGGUUCACGCACUCCUAAAGGAGGGGAAAUGGGAGAGAGAGAAGGGAAAAAAGAAGUCAAGGGCAUAGCCAAUGGAAAACUUUGCAAAAUAUCAAGUCCAUCAUCGAAAUGUCCCCAAAGUGUUCAUGCCAAAUAAGUCAAUAGCUCAUCCAAUAAGGAAUUAGUCCUAAUUUCACCCAAAAUAAACCAAAUUAGGGUAGAAAAACCCAAAUCUUAAACCCAUCCGAAUUUCCUUUCUAUUUUCCUUUUUUCUGAAAAUUCGCCGAAAGAUAAGAAGACGUCUUAUAAAUGAAUCGUGACACGCCUGAAUGUCCAAUUCCCGAAACUGAAUUCAAUUUCGUGGUUAAAAUCGACCGAGCGCGAUUUUAGUACAACCUAAUCUAUCAGGUAGCUUUUAGGGAUUUUAACACGUUUGACCCGUAGUCAAUAAUUUUCGAUCCAUGUUUGUACAUCUCUGACACAUAGACGACUCUUGGUUGUCACAAUAAUCGCAACAUUUCAAUCACGUGUCCCGAGCAUAAUUUCAAUAGAAAAAUCGGUUUAUUGUCAUUCGACGUGAAUAUCGCAACCGUGCGGAACCGCUUGUAAUUCAACUACGCAAACCCAUCGAAUUGACUUAUAUCCGUUCGCUAAUCGAUUAUAACAGUGUCGUAUUGACCCUUGCCGAUUAUUAUGGUCGAGCAGUCAAUUUUCAGUCGAAUUCUUUAAUCUGUCGCGUGUAUAUCCCUUAACGGCCUCACCUAAUAGAUUAGUUAACUCAAGAGUGAUCAGUUCCAAACAAAUUAACUGUAAGCACGUCGACGAAACAACCAUUUCAUAUAUUCGAAUCGGAGGUCAAAUUUCGGAAUGUCACAGCAAAAGUGGCUGGACGUCCAAAAAAGUAAUGACAUAUGCGUCAAUGUUUGACUUGUUAGAUGGAAAAGCAGCAUCAUUAGAUUUAGUUGCCUCACAGUUCUCUUGAUUUUGCAGAAUACCCGAAGGAUUUUGGAGCUUCCUUAUCCCCUCCAACUCCAUUGCCACUUCUUUCAUGGUAGGUCGGUUCCUCCCGUUCAAGUUUAGGCACCUUUUUGCUAGGCUGGCAACUAAUGCAAUCUCUUCCUUGUUACCUUCUUUCAAAACUUGAGCAUCGACAAUGUCAAACAAGCAAUUCUCCUCCAUUGAAAUUAUGAAAUAGGUCACGAGGCUUCUUCCUUCUUGUUCCCUCAGUGAAGAAAUUGGCUUUUGCCCCAUUAAGAGUUCAACAAGUACCACUGCAAAGCUGUAUACAUCACUUUUGUCAGUGAAUUGACUUGAUUGGAAAUAUUCAGGAUCUAGAUAGCCAAAAGUACCCUGUACCAACGUGAUUACAUGAGUUUGAUCAAGGGAAACUGACUUUGAAGUACCAAAAUCUGCCACGUUUGCUCGAUAUUUUUCAUCCAAAAAGAUAUUGGUGGACUCGAUGUCUCGAUGAUAAAUGGGAAUAGAGGCUGCUGAAUGCAAGUAGAAUAAGGCUCCUGCGAUUUUAGUUGUAAUCUGUAGCCAUGUGUCCCACGAAACAUGAAACUCUUCAUUUGGGUCAUGCAAAUAUUGGUAUAAAGUCCCAUUUGGUAUGAACUCAUACACUAAAAGCGGCACUUCUAUUUCCAAGCAACACCCCAAUAACUUAACCACAUUCAUAUGGUUGAUUUGUGAGAGAAUGAGGACUUCAUUUAUGGACUAUUCGACUUUUCCCUCAUCAAUCACUUUUGCUUUCUUAAUCGCGACUAUUUUUCUAUCUGUUAACAUUCCCUUGUAAACGGUGCCCUGUCCACCUUGCCUAAGUAUCCUAUCAUCUUUGAAAUUGUCGGUGGCCUUCUCUAAAUCCUUGGCAUUGAACAAUUUGCUUUUCUCGACGUUGCCUUUUGUUGAAAUGAAGACAGCUCACUUUUCAACAAAAGGCCGCCAUUGCGUUUGAAGUACUUCUCUUUGAGCUUGAUUUCUUCUCUCUUCUUGAUGUAUUUGUACAACCUCCAUAAGAAAAGACACAAAGCUAUUGCCCCAAGGCCUGCCCCAACCCUUGCAUUGCAAAAAAUUUGAGGGGUAAUAGUGUUAAAAAUGCCCCCUCUUUGUCAAGAAUCUAUAAAGGCACUUAUCAUAAAAUAUUAAAGUGACUCUGAGUGAAAGGAGUACAUAUGGAAGUGAUUGACCUAACUCUCCUUUCAUAUGGAUUUAUCUUAUCAACCAUGACAAGUUAAUUUGUCCUAGUAAUUUAUCAAACCAUUUCACUCUUCGCAGGUUGGGCAACCGCGGUCGGUUCCGACACGCAUCAUUUUUAUAUAAUAUAAUAAUAUUAUUUUAAUAUUAAAAAAUAUUUUUCUAAUAAUAACCCAAAAAAUAGAAAAAGCUAAAAAAUAGUCUUUGGUGGUUUUUCCUUGAAGUAUAUGAAAAUCCCUAAAAGAAAAAAAAAUUGUGUUUAAAUUCUCAAAAGCAAAUGUCGGAUUUUUGCUUGUUCCUAUUGCACCCUUAUGAUGCAUGGAUUGCUAUUUCUUUAGCUUGGUUAGGAAUGGAAUCCUAUGAUUUCCUUAGCUUGUUAGGAAUGGAAUCCUAGGACUUGUGACUGGCAUAAAAUGUUGCAUGAAUGCUUUGCUUGAUAUUUAAACAAGAUUAACUACUGAAAGGCAUUAGUUGAUUCCAUGGUGUAAUCAAAUCUCCAAUCCUAAUUUUUUUGGUUGUAUAGGAGUAAAAUAUUUCUCUUCAUAUUUUACUUGGAUUUUCAAUCGAUUUACCACAAACAAAUUAAUGGUGAUUUCUAAAUGAAAAUGACUUGUAGAUUCAAAUUCAUGGGUUUGGAAGAGCCCAUAUUGAGCCUAAAUUGGUGCCAGCCAUUAACCUCCGUGCUCACGGGAGGGCUCCAAAGAAGUCAUGACAAGUACUUAAGUCAAACGGCGGUACUAAACAAGAGAAAAUUUGAAAAGGGAACUAUUCAACCACCCUUCUUCUUUACAACACCACCAACAAGGAAAUAGCUAAAACAAAUGGUCUAUAAUUGACCAAUCAAAGGGCAAGUUCCCCCUUAUUUGUUAAGGUUAAGAGGGAUGGGUAAAGAUCAACUUUGAUGCAACUUGUAUAAUCGAGUCAUUCGCCUCUGCAUGUAUAGCUAGAAAUUGUUGCGAAGAUGAUGGCAAAAAUUGCUGUCUUCACUAUGAUUCACAAUGCGCGAAUGGUUGCACAUCUGAAAAUGUAGUUACAUCUGUGCCUAUGAAAGACUUGCUGGAUGCGAAAUGAGAGUCACGAGAUUUAGUGGCCUUGAUGUUUUCUUGAUUUUGUUGGAAGCUCGAAGAGCUUCAGAGCUUCCUUAUUCCCUCUAACUCCAUUGCCACUUCUUUCAUCAUCGGCCGGUUCCUUCCAAUCAAGCUCAAGCACCUUCUUGCGAGGCUAGCGACAGCUACAAUCUCUUCUUUCUUGCCUUCCUCCAUGACCCAAGCAUCAGCAAUAUUGAACAAGCAAUUCCGCUCCAUCGAAAUUACAAAAUAGGCUGCGAGGCUCCUUUCUUCUUCUUCCCUAAGCAAAGAGAUUGGCAUUUGUCCUGUUAAGAGUUCAACAAGGACUACUCCAAAGCUAUACACAUCGCUUUUGUCUGUGAAAUGACCUGUUUUGAAGUACUCCAGAUCCAAGUAUCCAAAAGUCCCUCGCACCAAUGUGGUAACAUGAGUUUGGUCAAGGGAUACAGACUUGGAAAUACCAAAAUCUGCGACUUUAGCACAAUGUUUCUCGUCCAAAAGGAUAUUGGUGGACUUGAUGUCGCGAUGAUAGAUGGGUAUAGAAGCCGCUGAAUGCAAGUAGAAUAAAGCUCCAGCAAUUUCGGUUGCAAUUCGUAGGCGUGUGUCCCAUGACACGAGAAGGUCUUCAUUUGGGUCAUGCAAAUACCUAUAAAGAGUCCCAUUCGGUAUGAACUCAUAUACUAAAAGUGGGUUAUCUGUUUCCACGCAACACCCCAUUAGCUUAACCACAUUCCUAUGAUCGAUUUGUGAGAGAAUGAUGACCUCAUUGAUGAACUCUUCAACCUUUUCCUUGUCUAUCAGUUUUGAUUUCUUAACUGCAACUAUUUUUCCAUCAGUCAGCAUUCCCUUGUAAACUACACCUUGUCCACCUUGGCCAAGUAUCCUAUCCUUGUUGAAACGGUCAGUGGCCUUCUCUAAAUCCUUGAAACCAAAUAAUUUGCUUUUCGCAACAUUGCCUUCAGGUGACGAAGAUAGAUGUCGUUGCAACAAGAGGCCCCACUGCGUUUUAAAGUACUUCUCUUUUUGCUUAAGUUCUCUUCUUUUCUUGACGACUCUGUAUAAGCAUCGAGAGAGAAGCAACACUUGCACUAGUCCUCCAACGCCCGCUCCGAGGCCUGCAGUUCGGCAAUUUAGUAGAGGAUAGAGUCAUAAAAAGCACAUGCUGUUAAGAAUGUUUACAGUUGUGCUAAACUAUCCAACUAGGAAUAGAAUAAUUUGGAAGCAGGAAAACUACUAAUCCCACAUUGAGUUAUGGAUAUUCUUUCCAUUGGCCAAGUAGAAAUUUCUACCAUCAUAGGAAGCCGCCAACUACAUAUGGGCAAAACUCAGAUUAUGAAAUGAUGUUGCAUUAAAAAAAUCUUUUCAGCAAAAUCGAAUGCAAUAAAAUUCACCAGAUGUAUAAACCAUCUACUCAAAUUGAUGCCUAAUUUUUCAUGGAAUCGUAUUUCAGUCCCACUCUUCUAUACUUACUCACCAUCGACGCCACAAAGAAUUUCAUCAUAUUGGUUAAUAAAAGUUCUAUUUCCAGGGAAAAAUAAUAAUCCUACACAAACAACAUAGCCUGGAAAUUGAAUUCGACACUUCGAUCAAAUCAUGACAAGUGGAAGAAUAGAACGACAAUCCUGUUGGAACGAAGGGUAAGGUAAAAUUAUACCUGUACCUUUUUUUAAAAACAUAUUUUAGGCUAUGCUGUUCAUCUUCUAACAAUAAUCAAAAGCAUGAAGUGGUCUAAAAUUCUAGGUUAAAAGAUCUACUUAGUACUUACCAAUAAGAAUAGCUGUCUUUCUACCUGUGACGCAGUCAUAGCUGCCCCGUUUGUUCACACAAGUCCCGGGGCACAAGUUUGGAUCUUCACAUUCAUUAAUAUCUGAUGACAGGUGAUAAAACAAACACAUUAGCAGUGGGUCAGUGGUGGUGGCCAAGUUCGCCCCGGGUUUACCCCGCCGGCUGCCAGCUAUACAGGGGCUCCCGGGUUAUCAAAAAAAAAAAACAAACACACACAUUAGCAGCGAAACCCAUGUCCUUGAGUAAAAUUAGAGAGAUUAGUAGGUCACAUUUCCUCUUGAAUUGUUUACUCCAUAUCCGAAAUAUUAUGCUUGUAACGAACGGACUCUCCCCUUUGUUUCCGGUAAAUUAUUAUCAUUAUAAGUCAUUUAAUUUUGUUUGAAAUUCACUUUGUGUAAUAUUGGGCGGUAAAACAAGAAAAAGAAGGCAGAUAAGCAUGUACGUGAUCAUCAAACAGUUUCAAUGCGUUCUUUUCAGAGAAAAUUCUGGGAAUGGACAAGCCACAUCUCCGUUUAGUGUCCUUAAAAACGGAACGGGUUAGCAUGAAGUAUGUUACCUUGGCAUCCUUCAGUAAGAUAGGGGUUACCCCCAUACCCCGCGUUGCAAUAGCACUGUAUGAAUGGCAUUUGACUCGUACACAAUCCAUAGAAGCUGUAUUUGCUACAUUUGAAGGCAUCAAGAUAGCCCGAGCCAUAGCCUUGCAGGAAAAGCAUGAAUUGGUAGUCGGUUUUGUCUGAAAUCCCCCAUUCCAACACCACUGGAACUGUAUCAUUCCAACUCAAAUCUUAUAAACCUGUUACGUUAGACCUCAAGAACCGUGAUCUAUCUGCUAGGAAAGCGUACUUGCAUCCCUGAGGUCCACCUUCUUCUUUAAAAUCCACGCUAAAGCCCUGAAGGUUAACGGGGAGUGUAGUCUGGCAGCAUUGGUCCCUCCCCAAACAAGCACUAUAUCGGCCAAAGUCGGUGCUGGUUCCAGCACAUUUUGACCGGCAACCAACAACAUCUGACUCUGUACUAUUCACUGUUGUCAGGGUGUUGCAACCGACCGACGUAAAUACGUUCCAUCUCUGGGAGAAGAUAAAUUGACUUCCUUCAAAGUUCACCGGCCCACCAAGUCCUUCGCCCCGGCAGCUUGCAUUUGAGUAUAUUAAUGGAAGACUGACACUGAUCAUGCCAUCCACGGAUUGAUAAUAAUUGGGAAGUGAAAUGUUGAGAACUCGCAAUCCAAUCUUAUAUAGUAUUGGAACCAACCUAUUUUGGCAGACGAUCUCAUACCAGGGAUCCAAGAAACACCCGGCACCUAUUCCGAAGGGGAAGGGAAUGCUGACGUUCCCGCAUGUUUCAACACAGUUGGGCCUUGCAAGUCCAGCUGCAGCUCCUGAUGCUUGUAUCGUGAGGAAAACCAGAAGCACAAGAAUUCGGAACUCUGAGUUCGACAUGAUGUUCACGUCUGUGUGUGCAUGGACCUAAACAUAUGGAGAAAGGGGAUAUGGACUGAGUCCCUUAAUAUUGUUAUUUAUGUGGAAGAGGGGAAGAAUUCUGAUGCACUCUACGCAUAAUUUUGUUCCAGCUCUGCUACUUCCUAGUAUCUGUGACGAUGCUUCCUUGAAUAUGGAAAUAUCGAAGCUUGAUAGGUAAAGGACACCAACGGAAGCAGCCAAGUGUGACUUUUCCAGCUGUUGGGGAUAUGAUUUUGUCAUCAUCUUUAUAAUUGAGAUAUCUAAUCCUUUCCUUCUUGACUUAAAUUGUUUCGCAUACGAGUCGGUUCAUUUUAAUUUAUCGUAGACCAAUAAUGUAUGAAUUCUUCCUCUUCCGCGCUAGAUUAAAUAUGGUUCCACGCCUUUGCUUAUUGUCGCAAAAUUUCACAUUUCAUUGCCAAUCUUUUUGUUUAGUAUUUAUUAUUGGUCAUUUACAGUUCCUAAUUAAACAUGAAUGUGGUCUUUCUGUAAAUUCUGAAUAUCUGUCUUAGUUUAGCACUGUUUCAGUUAUUUAUUAAAUCGACUUCUGAGUUUAACCUUGUUUAGAGGACUCGAAUUUCACCGUUUUUCACGAUGAGUGAACGGCUGCACAUUGAAUAAAUUACAGGAAAUUAUUGCUAAUCAUCCCUAUCCAUGUGUCCAGGGAAGUGAAAUGUUGAGCAAAUGUAAUCCAAUCUUACUUAGAGUAGGAUUCGUGUCUCCAUAAUUUAGCUAAUCUUUCGCGAAUUUCAUGAAAUUUUGGGAUUUUUCCAGCCCAAAAAAAAGAAAAACUCAAGAAAUUAACAUGUUGAGAUGUGAAGAAAUUUUCUUUUGUUGCCAUUAAAGCCUCUACUUCCAGAAAGGCUCCAAGUCAUUUUGAGAUUGGAGGACUUUGGAGACUCGUUUUUUGUUCUAGACAAGCCCAUUCGGACAAGGCUUGAAGCCUAGGUACUGAGAAAUGGGGAUUCAAAAUCUUAGCUUUCGGAGUUAGAAAAACUGGAAAGUACGAGGCAACUGAACUGCACAUGUGAUCUUUGACUGGCACUUGAGGCAAGCAGACGAUGCCUUUUUUUGACCGCUGAGAUUGGACUUCUUCAAAGGCGUAUGGUGCCCGUGUCCCAUAUAAUAUGCAAUCUCAGCCGAUGAUCGAGUGUGACUCUCACGUGGAGCCCCCAUAAUAAGUGAUUAUGACGGAUCAAGUCCAUAGAGACUCGGAUCCAGGCAAGAAUUUUGCGCAAGACCAGUGGAAAACGGGUUAAUAUAAUUCCCAUCCAUAUGGAAACCAAUUUGUACGCAAACAAGCUUGGAACUAUCAGCAUGGUGCGAACCAAUGAUGACUUGUAAAAUCUAUGGCCUUCAAGACCGUUAUCAUAUGAGAACUUAUAUUAGAACUGAUCAUUGACUUAGUCUCCGACAACGACAGAACAGAGAAACAAUGGUUCCGUAGCUAGCUAUUGCGCUGACGAUGACUCAUUUUAGACCACAGGCUUCUUGGUGGUCGGCAGCGACUGAGCUUGGCCGGGUCGUUGGCCUCAUCCUCGCCUAUUUUCCACGAGAUCAAUGAUCUCACUAUUCAUCCAGAAUCACGACCCUGUUCGAGGGAUGAGCGCAAGACGGGGUUACCUAAACGCCUUUUUCUUCUGUUACUUUAUGACUCCUACCCCAUAUCCGAGGAUGCUUCCAAGUGCAGAAUUGUCAGCUUCAGAUCUUUCAUGGAGAAAAAGAUUCUCCACUGAAGUGAUCGCCUAUUUUAGCAGCCAAAAUGAGAAAAUUUGUUUCGAUCAGGUUCGCUUUGAUGACAAUGGCGACAGACUACUUUUCAGUUUCAGUUGAAGAUAUGAAAAAGAAAACCCAUGAUAUUAACAUGAUGAAAAUUGAAGAUAUUUUCUUUUGUUCACCAUUGAAGUUUCUCCUUUCAGAAAGGCUCUUAAGCCAUUUUCAGAUUGGAGGACUUUGACGACGCGUUUUUUGUUCUGGACCGCCAUAUCAGGACAACGCUUGAAAGGUACUGAGAAAUGGGAUAUUUCGGAAACUCAGCUUUCUAAGUUAGAAAAGUCGGAAAGUUAGAAGACAACUGAACCGCAGAGGUGAUCCUUGACCCGCACUUGAUGCGUUAAGGCCAUUGCACAAGUGGGGAUCAGAGUAAAGUCCAGUAAAUUACUUUUCAGAGUCCAAUUCUUUGACUGAGAGAUGCAGAAGAAGACUCGCUAUUACUUUGCUUCCACGCAGAUUUAGACAUCGAUAUCACCAUAAUUUAGCUACCGAAAAUUGCGGAGCCACUUGUCAGGUUCGAUACGUGCACCCGUUCUCAUAUAAUCCAUAUUCAGGCUUUUUCCGAAACAAGUUCCACCAAAACUGGAGACUAAAUCGGGUUCGGAUGAUUUUGGUCAUAUAUAAUAUGGAAAGGUAGUUACUUGAUGGUAUCAUAGCAAACGAAAAGACUUGGACCAUUACCAAGUCUUGAUAAGUAGAGGACACCAAUUUAAGAAGCCAAGUGAGAUUUUUUUCCAUUGUUUUUUCUUUUCUCUUCCAUUGUUGGGAAGACAAUUUUGCAAUCAUCUUUCCUGUGAGAAAGACUUACUUGGAGCAUUACCAAGAGAGAUGACUUUUCAGGGCCCUUUAUCAUGGACUCCGUCAAGCACGUUGUAAUAGAGUCGUUUAUUGUUUUCCUUACCAACUUAAAUUUUGUUUUUGUAAGUAUCGGAUCUUUUUAAUUUUUCCUAGACAAAAAUCGUGUGAAUUUUUUCUUUCGUAGACCAAAAUCAUAUUUGAUAAAUAACUACCAAAAUCCUCCUAUUGGUAAACAAACGAUUUCUCCUCUGUUCUUUCUUUUCUCUUUAUUUUGUUCUGAUUUCCGAUUUCCAAGACAAAAAGAGUUUCUUAAAUUCUCAAUUUAGUUAUAAACCUUUCAAUCUAGCCAAUUUAAUUCUAAUCAUUUUAAGAUAUGCUAGUAUAGCCCUUUAAUUCUUAAUUUGUCAAGCUCAGCUAUGGUCACCGCUUCUUCUUCCGAAUCUAAGGCCAAAGACAAGGUGAACUCGAUCAACAUAAACAAGAAAGGAAGACAAUCCGUCUGCAUUAAACUCAUCGGGAAGCUCGAGCAACCCUAUUUGUUUAUCUCUUCUUUUACACCGCCACUCCAAUCAUCACAAGAUCCGCUCACAGUGGCUUCAUCCCAAAAAAAAAAAAAUUGGCCAGAGAGCAUCCAAUUCUUAUGGCAAAAGAUUUCAUCUCCACCAACCACCGCCUUCAACUCUCAUCACCCUAUUGGUCUCUGUUUCGACGCGAAUAAACCCUGGUAUUGCCGUGGCCAUUGAUCAAAUCAGUUAUUGUUUAAGCCCAGAAAACGGCCAUCCCUAUUCUUGGUUCCCCUGAUUCUUUUUAUCUUUUAUUUUAUUUUAUUUUUGUUUUCCUUUCUAAAUGGCUAUUGGCUGAAAAUGUUUUUGUUCAGUAGUGACUGGGUUUUGUUGUUUGAGCAGUUCAAGUAACUGGGAAAAUUUCAUAUAAUUUCAAAUAAAGGUUCGAAAUUGAGUUGUUUUCUUGAAUAAAGGUUUGAAGUGCAAAAUCAGUCACUAAUAAGAGCUGAACUCUUAGGCCAGCCAAAUCUUCACUGAUCAGCGAGCCGUGUGAUUGUUCCAACCACUGGGGAAGGGACAUUUUUGUCCAAAAAUUUCUGGGUUGGUUUUUUUCCUUCUGUUUUUCUUUCUUGAGUUCAGGACUGGGAAUUAAUCCACAACCCCAACUCCGACUCGGUCGACAACCCUAGGAACUUUGACCAGAUGGAGGAUGAAUCGGGGGGCAUGAUCCAGGGCGAUACAAUACUUAGCAAGCAAAUCUUUUUAAUUACCUAACAUCCCGCUCAGGAUCUGAUUACAGACAUGCCGACCUCAUCCAAUAGAAAUUACUUUUUAAAGUUCUGGUUAAUCAAGCAAGAACCGUUGUUCUACCAUAAAUUCUUACAUGUUUGCAUGGCAAGUGAUUCACCGGUAUAGAUUGACAGCAUGAUAUGCUUUCUCUGAUAGAGAAUCGCUAAUCGCGCGUUUUCUUGCACUACAAAUGCAAUCAAAUAGUGUCGUUUCAGCACAAAAACCUCUCAAAAAAGUCUCUAAACUUCACGUUCCAAUUUCUCCCCACCGUUGCUUCUCGCUCUCUCUCUUCUCCUUUCUUGCUUCUACACUAAUCUGCAGGAUCUUAAACCCUGAAAACGGGGUCAAGAUCUCUAAUUUUUCCUAGAAUUUGCCUCCAAUUCGUGAAAAAACAAUGGGUUCGGGAAAACCCAUUUCGAGAUGACCAUUUUGCCGUUACUUAGUCUUGCUAUCUCCAAACCCAUAAAGAAAGAGAGCUUUGACGAAGAAGAUUUGGAGGAGAUUGAGGAACUGUUAGCCCUAGAUGAAGAGGUGGAGGAACAUCAAGAAAUUUCACCAACAAUUGUGAGAUUUUGUGAAAUCACUACCAACUAAGCAUGGAAAUCUAAUUGGGAAAGCAAAUAAAGUCUACAAAAAUUUGGUGAAACCACUGUCAACUAAGCGUGGAAAUUUAAUUGGGAAAGUAAAUAAGACCUGAAAAGAUUCCAACUCAUGAUCUCCACUCUGAUAUAAUGUGAGAUUUAAUGGGACCACUACCAACUUUUUUAAAAGAUUAAGUUGUUAAAUGAAGCUGUAGUUUAUUGUUUAUAUAUUUUGACAAUGUCGAAUCCCGAAUCUUAAAAAAGAGAAAAAGAAAAUCAAGCUAGAAUUUUUUUUGAGAAAUGCAGCUUGGCUAAUUAAAAAUGUUACCAUCCUGACAUCUUUUGGUGUUUCUAUACUCUGGACUAAAAUUCUAGAUAGUUUGUAGCUAAAAGACAGUCCUUGAAAGGCUUGAACAAGAGGUUCGCUUGUUGUGGGACGGCAUAUAUGGUACAACUGAUUUGGUUCUCCCUAGUUCUAAGCAUAGAUCCCCUCAUUGGUAUCAGAGUAAUGAGGGGACCCAUACUUAGAACCAGGGAGAACCAAUGAGGGGAUCUAUACUUAAAACCGAGAAGAACCAGGUCAGUUGCAACAGAUAUGCUAUCUCACAACAAACAAGCCUCUUGUUCAAGCCUUCCACGGACUGUCUUUUAGCUAGUCCCUUCUCUAGUAGCCUAAACAAUCACAAGACUCACUAUCUAGUGAAGAUUUGGUCGGCCGACAAGUUCGAAGUCUUAUUAAAAACUGAUUUGCCACUCCAAGUCAUUAUUUGAGAUAAGGUCUACUUUGAGCUUUUAUUUUUGAAAAUAAGUCUACUUUGAGUAUUUAUUUGAAAUUUUCUCUCAGAUGAUUGAUGACUCAAUACUCCUUCCUUCUUUUCUCUGUUUUUUGCUUUGAUUGCUCCAUUUUCUUCUAAUUAGGUCAUAAGGCUAUGUUUGGUUGUCUAGAUUUCUAAUCAGGAUAUGACUAGAUAGAAUAGUAUAGGAUAUGAAAUCCUGAGAUUUUUCUAUAUUCUAUGCACUAUUUGGUAAAUCGCAAUAUUAAAGUCGAAUAUAUUCACAUCAUAUCAUAUAUAUAUUUUUAAAUAUAAAUGACAUAUCAUUGUAAAUGAACCUAAAAGUUCAUAAACAAAGAUGGUAAAAAUAUCUUGUGACAUUAUUCCUUAAUUUAUUUUUAUUUUAUUUUUCCUCUUUUUAAAAUUAUUUUCUUUAUUAUUAUUUUUCCCCUUUCAUCAUUCUUUAAUAAAAUUUUAUCAAAUAGUAAACUGUACUAACAUACCUAAAAUACAAAAAUACCUAAAAUAUAUAUAAUAAAUAUAAAUAUAUAAUUUAUAUAUAGAAUUUUUAUUAUAAGAAAAAGAUUAAAGUUGAAUAUAUAAAUUAAAUUAAGAUUAAAUUAACAUAAUUUUUAAUUUUUAAUUUUUAAUUUCUUAAAUUAGAAUUCGAAUAUUAUUUAUAUUGAAAUAUAAUUUUUUUAACUUAAUAAGUUUGUUAUUCGAGAAAAAUAACUUUCAUAUUAUAAAUAUUAGAAAUCAUAUCCACCUUUAUCCCACCUCCCCUAUGGAAUAAUUUUAUCCGGCUUAUAUCUCCUUAUAUCCGACUUUAUCCUAUCUUGAGCAGGUAUCAAACAUAAGAUAUGAUUCAUAUCCUAUCUCGAAUUUUAUCCUAACUGUCAAACGCACCCUAAGAGUUUUUGUUUUUCCUUGAAUGCAACUCCAAAUUCGGUGACGAGAUUUCUGCAAUUCCCAGAUUUGUGAUUCCAUAUUUCUCUUCUUUCUAUCCGUUUUCUUUCUUUCUUUUUUUAUGGCUUUCAUCAUUAAUUUUUUUAUUGGCCUAUUUUCGGAUGUGGCACCUCUAAAUUACAUGGAAAAAUUCACCAUUUUCCAUUCAUCAAUGUGGACAAAGCUAACGAAGGAACUUGAUUGCAUCAAUAUGUCAAGUUUGGGGAUUUAAUUGCACGUUUUAAAAGUUUAAGGACCCAAUUAUACUUUCGUAACAAGUUUUAAGACUUUUAUGACACUUCCUCUAUGUCUUAUAACAUUUGAAAGUCUUAUCUCUUCCCCUCAUGCUGGCCAAAAUUUAACGGUCAAUUUGAGUGUUCAUUUCAAAAGAUUUCCACACAGUUUGGAUGACCCCAAUUCAUAUUUGGCACUCAGUAAUUGUUUGGCAAGGUAGAAAACUAAAAGCAUGGUGGUUUUUGAUAAACCAUCUUUCUACUGUUAUUUGGUAUGUUGCUAGUUCGAAAUUUUAGUCAUCACCACAAAGGAAUCACGCAUACAAGAUAGAUGGGGUAAUAUUGGAAGCCCAUAGUGGGAAAUAAAUGGUCCCUAUGCACAAAUUUUUUUCUUGAUUGUGUUGAAGUCACUUUUACCAUGAUGCAUAAAUGCAACAUAUCACCUAUGGACACUUGAAUUUUUGUCGACAUUUUAAGUAUCCAUUCAUUUUACAUAAAUAUUAAAAAAAAGGACAAAAAGAAGAAAAAGAAAAAAGAACAGAAAGUCAUAAAAAGAUUAAAAGAAAGUAAAAAUAGUGAAAAUGAACAAAAUAAGUGGAGUGAUAAAAAGAGGGAAAAUAAAUAAUUAAAAAAGGAGAAAAUGACGAAAAGGUAAUGGAAAAAUCGGGCCUAGUGGGCCGGCGGGUCCAGCCCACCCUUUUAUUGAAUUUUUGGCCCUUUCAAAAGUUAGGCCCAGAUUCCCAUUUAUUUUCUUCCUUUUGGCCCACUUUUCUCCCCUUCUCUUUGAGCCCAAGAGAAAACAAUGCAAAGCCCAGCCCGGCCUUUCCUCCAGCCUUGUUUCGGCAGAGACCAGCACGCCCGGAGAAUAGCUGAGCUGGCGGGUAGGAGGGGGAGGCGUAAUAGAAAGAUUCCUCAAGCGAGGGCUGCGUGAGGGAGGGGAGAGAACGCUCGGCCGAGGCAUGGAGGGGCGAGAGAAGACAGACGCAACAGAGGGGCUGAUCCUUUUCUUCGCUGAAGCGAUAUCACGGAGAGAGAAAGAGAGAGGGGAGGGGGUGAGAGAGAGUAUUAUUUCCGUUCUCGGGGAGUGACCGAGGACCCAGUCGCCGGAGCUCGCCGCCCGUUUCCAAAGCUCCGGUCAAGGGUCAGUUCGUGAGCCAGCCUUUACCCAUUCGGCGGUCUUUCUACGGCCGAAGAAGGAGCCCCAACUAGUCGCUCCUCACCGUCGCUGACUGAGAUCUUGAGUCGCCGAACGAGACAGGUAGGAUUCCUCUCCCCGAAGCCCCUGUUUUCUGGCCGGAGAAACUCGUCUGAGUCGAUGUAACUUUUGGAUCAAAAUCUUGACAAACUCACACAAGUUUAGAACGGUUCAUAGUGUUUGGGAGGUUAAUGUAUCAUGGUUGGAUCGUGGAAUGCUGUAGAUUUGAACUAACUAUUUGUUAUAUUGCCUGAACGAACCGCAGAAUGUUAAAGAAAACCGAAUCUGAUCGUUAAAAUUUUAAGUAAACUAGAACAAAUUAGGAUGGAUUUAGCAUGAAAAAUGUUGAUUCAUGCCUUUAUACAUUGUUUUUUACUCUAAAAUGGCAUCGAAUCCCUCUCUGGAACACAUCCUUUACAUCGCACAUCAGUCGCUCGAUAAAAUGCUUGAGGGAAGGCCGAAGCUGCUCGAUUGUUGAAUCUUAAGAUUGAUUUUGCUUUUGCUUCUGUAUAGGUUGAAUGUGGCCUAAUAUUAGUGUUUUCUUUUGUUUUACGCAUGUGAUGAGAAAUCUGUGUUCGAGUUCAACUUGUAUAUAUAUCCCCAUGCCUGAAAGCUGUUCGUCGGAGACAUCCCCUCUCGCCGGCGAAGUUUGUGAUUUAAAAUCACCCAGUCAGUUUAUCUCUUCACUUUGUUGUAUACUAGUGAUUGUUUUCUUGUUAGAAAGCCUAGGAUGGGAGGGAUUAGCUUCCGAUAGGUAUUUUUGUUCAUGGUUGUGGUCGCCGGAAUGAGUGGUCGGAGUUGGGGGGUUGCCGGUGGGAGUGGAUGACCGGCGGAGAGAGUCGGUUUGGCAGCCAUGAAGGCACUCGCUGUCGCUGGCCAGAGCAAUGGCAGGGCGUCGAGGCCGGUGAUCCUGGUUCGGUGAGUGCAGGUGGAAAGAAAAAGAGUCGGCGAAGGAGGAGGAGCGCUGCUGGAGGUUGGAGGAGGAGGGCAGGGAAAGAAUGUAAAACAGGGGAAAGGACAAAAGAAAGAAGAAAAAGAAAAAUAGGAAAAUUUCAAAAAAAAAUUUCAAAAU
rnacentral:lncRNA from 1 species